rnacentral:rRNA from 1 species
UACGUAGGGUGCAAGCGUUGCCCGGAUUUAUUGGGCGUAAAGGGCGCGUAGGCGGCCUGCUAAGUCGGAUGUGAAAUCCCUCGGCUCAACCGAGGAACUGCAUCCGAUACUGGCGGGCUUGAAUCCGGGAGAGGGAUGUGGAAUUCCAGGUGUAGCGGUGAAAUGCGUAGAUAUCUGGAGGAACACCGGUGGCGAAGGCGGCAUCCUGGACCGGUAUUGACGCUGAGGCGCGAAAGCUAGGGGAGCAAACGGG